rnacentral:misc_RNA from 1 species
GAUAAAGAACGCAGCGAAAUGCGAUAAGUAAUGUGAAUUGCAGAAUUCAGUGAAUCAUCCAAUCUUUGAACGCACAUUGCGCCCGCCAGUAUUCUGGCGGGCAUGCCUGUUCGAGCGUCAUUUCAACCCUCAAGACCCCUUCGGGGGACUUGGUGUUGGGGACCGGCACAGGGGCCUGCCUGCUUGUCUUGCAGCGCCCUCGCCGCCCCCGAAAUGAAUUGGCGGCCUCGUCGCGGCCUCCCCUGCGUAGUAGCACAACCUCGCAACGGGAACGUGACGGCGGCCACUGCCGUAAAACAACCCCAAUUUUAUUAGAGUUGACCUCGAAUCAGGUAGGAAUACCCGCUGAACUUAAGCAUAUCAAUAAGCGGAGGA